rnacentral:lncRNA from 1 species
UAUAUUAUGCGGGAACUUGGUCCCGUGUUUGUGAUUCGUGUUGUGCUCUUUCUUUCAUAGUUUUAUCAAUUUUUUUUGCGGGGAACUGCUCACAUUGAUGUUACAUUAUUUGGGAACUAGCUUGGACUCGGUAUGACAACGGGACCUUUAAAAGACAAUCCAGUCUGCUAACUACAUUUUAUUCUGGUUCACAGUCUAAUCAUAUUUACAACAGUUAUAAUACAGAUUACAUUACUUUUCCAUCAUAGUUAUACAUCAACUAUUUCGCGACAUAAAUCGAACAAUAAUAUAAAAACCGACAAGAGUAUACGCGCCAUAAAUGAACAGUCGUGUCAUCUGUUAUCUCCCCUUAAUUCGUUUACUUUUAAUAUUUAAUCAAGUAUCAAAUUAAGAAUUUUAUUUUCAAAAGUUAUCUAUACGAAUAAGUUAAUUCCUUUUUUUAUAAGUUAAGAAUCUUUUAUACAAAUCAUUUACCUAAAUAUCAUUUCAAACUUUGCCUAUUAUUUAUUUAAUCUAUAUCACGAU